GAGGCAGGGUCACAGAUGAGGCAAUGGCUAUGCUGCUCCAUUAUGCCCUACUGCUGUCUGGCUGAGUGACAUUGGGCAGGUGUGGAUACACUACACCCUCCCCUUGGGACCACCUACAUCUGUUUUGAAAUGGACACACUGCAAGAUCGCCUAUGUUCAGAUUCCGCAAAAGUAUCUAUUAUCAAUGAAAGGCUAGAGGACACACCUGUCAGGAAGCCAGACCAGAACUCUGUUGUCUCUCAUAAACAAGAACAGAGCAGCAACAGGAAACUCCUGACUCAUCCAGAUACAACUAAGUCUAGAGCUAUCU